AUGCACGCUGGCGGCGUGCCUCAUACAUGCCAGUCGCGCGAACAGACGAGGAGCUUGCUCCUCUGACGUUAGCGGCGGACGGGUGAGUAACACGUGGAUAACCUACCUAUAAGACUGGGAUAACUUCGGGAAACCGGAGCUAAUACCGGAUAAUAUAUUGAACCGCAUGGUUCAAUAGUGAAAGACGGUUUUGCUGUCACUUAUAGAUGGAUCCGCGCCGCAUUAGCUAGUUGGUAAGGUAACGGCUUACCAAGGCAACGAUGCGUAGCCGACCUGAGAGGGUGAUCGGCCACACUGGAACUGAGACACGGUCCAGACUCCUACGGGAGGCAGCAGUAGGGAAUCUUCCGCAAUGGGCGAAAGCCUGACGGAGCAACGCCGCGUGAGUGAUGAAGGUCUGCGGAUCGUAAAACUCUGUUAUUAGGGAAGAACAAAUGUGUAAGUAACUAUGCACGUCUUGACGGUACCUAAUCAGAAAGCCACGGCUAACUACGU
rnacentral:rRNA from 1 species